AUUGAACGCUGGCGGCAGGCCUAACACAUGCAAGUCGAACGGUAACAGGAAGCAGCUUGCUGCUUCGCUGACGAGUGGCGGACGGGUGAGUCAUGUCUGGGAAACUGCCUGAUGGAGGGGGAUAACUACUGGAAACGGUAGCUAAUACCGCAUAACGUCGCAAGCCCAAAGAGGGGGACCUUAGGGCCUCUUGCCAUCGGAUGUGCCCAGAUGGGAUUAGCUAGUAGGUGGGGUAACGGCUCACCUAGGCGACGAUCCCUAGCUGGUCUGAGAGGAUGACCAGCCACACUGGAACUGAGACACGGUCCAGACUCCUACGGGAGGCAGCAGUGGGGAAUAUUGCACAAUGGGCGCAAGCCUGAUGCAGCCAUGCCGCGUGUAUGAAGAAGGCCUUCGGGUUGUAAAGUACUUUCAGCGGGGAGGAAGGGAGUAAAGUUAAUACCUUUGCUCAUUGACGUUACCCGCAGAAGAAGCACCGGCUAACUCCGUG
rnacentral:rRNA from 1 species